CAGAGAGCCAUUUGUCUAGUGAAGUCCCAUCUAUGGAGAAGGAAACACCAAGAGCUUGGAGGCUUGGAACUCUUGCUAGUGCCUCCUUUAGGCCAAGACCAACAUGAAGUCAACGAGCAAAACAAGACUUCUGUUUACAGACUCCCAGCCCCAGCAUCUCCAAAGCUGAAUCUCACUGCAUGGAUAUGAUUCUUUUGGGGGAAGGAAGAGAGAGAAGAGAACUUCACAGAGGAAUGCUGUUAUCAGAAAUGAUAUCAAUGACAUGGAAGAGAUGAUUUUAACUUAAUAUCUAUGCAAACAUAAACCA